GACGCCCGCUUUCUUCUUGCUUAACACAUGCAAGUCGAACGGAAAGGCCCUGCUUUUGUGGGAUGCUCGAGUGGCGAACGGGUGAGUAACACGUGAGUAACCUGCCCUUGACUUUGGGAUAACUUCAGGAAACUGGGGCUAAUACCGGAUAGGAGCUCCUGCUGCAUGGUGGGGGUUGGAAAGUUUCGGCGGUUGGGGAUGGACUCGCGGCUUAUCAGCUUGUUGGUGGGGGAGUGGCUUACCAAGGCUUUGACGGGUAGCCGGCCUGAGAGGGUGACCGGCCACAUUGGGACUGAGAUACGGCCCAGACUCCUACGGGAGGCAGCAGUGGGGAAUAUUGCACAAUGGGCGGAAGCCUGAUGCAGCAACGCCGCGUGCGGGAUGACGGCCUUCGGGUUGUAAACCGCUUUCGCCUGUGACGAAGCGUGAGUGACGGUAAUGGGUAAAGAAGCACCGGCUAACUACGUG
rnacentral:rRNA from 1 species